rnacentral:rRNA from 1 species
GACGAACGCUGGCGGCGUGCUUAACACAUGCAAGUCGAACGGAAAGGCCCUGCUUGCAGGGUACUCGAGUGGCGAACGGGUGAGUAACACGUGGGUGAUCUGCCCUGCACUUCGGGAUAAGCCUGGGAAACUGGGUCUAAUACCGGAUAGGAGCCAUUUUUAGUGUGAUGGUUGGAAAGUUUUUUCGGUGUAGGAUGAGCUCGCGGCCUAUCAGCUUGUUGGUGGGGUAAUGGCCUACCAAGGCGGCGACGGGUAGCCGGCCUGAGAGGGUGGACGGCCACAUUGGGACUGAGAUACGGCCCAGACUCCUACGGGAGGCAGCAGUGGGGAAUAUUGCACAAUGGGCGCAAGCCUGAUGCAGCGACGCCGCGUGGGGGAUGACGGCCUUCGGGUUGUAAACGCCUUUCGCUAGGGACGAAGCUUUGUGUGACGGUACCUAGAUAAGAAGCACCGGCUAACUACGUG